UCCCGCCGGCUGGCGGGGAGGGGUCGGCUCAGGUAUCGCGGCCGCGGCCGCCGCCCGGGAGCGAGCGCUGGGCGCGGGACCGCCAAGGCAGAAUGGGGCGGCUCGGAGCCCGCCGCCUCGUCCUGCUCGCCGCCUGCCUGGGGCUCUGCGAGGCGCUCGGAGCAUCUUUUUAUGGUGAAAGCUAUGUGGAGCUCAGCAUCACAGAGGUUUCCUCGGAGUUAUCACUUCAGUUAACAUUUCAAACCAGCAAACCCCAGGGAUUACUUUUUCUUGCAGCUGGGAAAAGUGACUACUUUAUAAUAGAACUUCUGGCAGGAAACUUAAGGGUGAGAGUGAAUUUGGGGGCAGGUGAACAAGUGCUCCUUUCUGAGCAAAGACUUCGUAUGGAUGACUUGGUGUGGCAUUUCGUGGAACUGUUCUGUGUGAAGGAUAGUAUCUCUCUGGUUAUUGACAAACAUUAUGAGAUGACUGGCCAGAUCACGGGUGGGAGGCACAGUUUACACUUUCAGCAUGGAAUCUACAUAGCAGGCCACGGUGGACUUGAUGUUCCUUACCUAGAUGGAGAGCUCCCCAAUUUCCGUGGAUGUAUGGAGGAUGUGGUAUUUAACCAGAGGGAGAUCCUUACAUCCCUUAGAUCUUAUCCUGGUUUUAAGAAAGUUUAUGAGGUGUCACUCGGAUGCAGUGAUGAAUUUUUUGCAGGAGAAGAUGAAGCCAUCAACUUCUUUAGCUCCAGAUCCUAUGUCGCCUUCCCAGAAUGGAAGAUGCCAGGGCACGGACUGUUGGAAUUCGCUUUGCAGACUGAAACUCAACAAGCCUUGCUUUUAUUUCAGUCAGGUCAAGAAGGAGAUUUUAUUGCUUUGGAAAUAGCAAAAGGCUUAUUGAAGGCCCAUGUAGGAAGGAAUAAGAACAAUACUGAGCUCUCUUCUUUUAGUUUAGUUAGUGACAACCAGUGGCACGUAAUUCAGUUCAAGUUCACCGAAAGGUAUUUGGACCUGAUGGUGGAUGAACAAGGAGUAAGGACAUUGCUGCCUUUGCAAAGCCAACCGUUUGUGUCUGAAGGCCCUCUCUUUGUGGGAGGUCUUGGCAACCACAAGGGAGAAGAAGUUAAGAGGUUACAACUUGCCUUUGUGCCUAGAAAAUCUGCUCGGGGACUCUCUUUCAAAGGGUGCAUAAGAGGCUUGGAAGCCAACUCAAAAAAGAGAGCAUUAAAGGAUGCCCUUCUUUCUAAAGAUAUAGCUGCUGGGUGUAAAAUGAAGAGCAGUGAUAAUGAAAAUCCUUCUGUAACAAUAAGGGAAAACCUGCUUCGGGCAGAGAUUCCCCUUUCCACUGCUGUCCCUGAGGCAGGCCAGCCUAUCCUGCAAGAUGGAAGUAGAUAUUUCUUGGUUCUCAAUAACUUGGAGGUUCAAGAAGGUGGACGAGCCUUACUUGAACAAAGGCACAUGAAUGUGGAUGUGGACCUGGAGGAUCUGGGUAUCCGUCAGUCUCAGAUACUAUUUAAAAUACAGGAAAUACCUGUUCAUGGGUUCCUUCAGUUAGAUGUUUCUCCUGAGCAAGACACAGAGAAGGCCUUUUCUCUGUUAGAUCUGGAGCAAGGAAAAGUUUGGUAUGUCCAUAAUGGUUCGGAAGAACCUAUGGAUUAUUUCACAUUUUCAGUCUUUUUCAGCAGCAAGGAGGAAAUGCCACUAUACCAGCAAGGACAAGUUUCAUAUGUGUUUAACAUUAUCGUCAUUCCAGUAAAUGAUCCCCCAAACCUUAAGCUCCCUGAGGGAAGCCUGCUUCUCGUGUUUGAGAACUCUAAGAAGCAACUGACUCCAAGUAUCAUACAUGUGUCAGACCCAGACACAGAUUCCUUGAGUCUUAGCUUCUCAGUUCUUGGCAACUUCAAUUCAGAUGCUGGGUUUUUAGAAAACACCAAUGAUCCUGGGAGGCCCACUGCUGGUUUUACAUAUGGGGAUUUAAGAGAUGGCAAUAUUUUCUAUGUGCAUAGGGGCCAUCAGCACUCCCGGAUCCUUCUGAGAGCAACUGAUGGAGAGGUGGUUAGCAAUACAGUGGUGUUACGGGUCAUGGCGGUCCCUUGGGACUUUGAAAUAGCCAAUAGUACUGGUGUGGCUGUAGAGCAGGGUGGCACAGCUCUGAUUACGCAGGGCCACUUGUCGGUGGAGGUUAAUGGUGAACGCCCUGAGGUAGAGACCCGCUAUCUUAUCACUCAUCCACCUCAGUUUGGCCAGAUUCAGCGGCAGGGGUCAAGUGGCGAGUGGAAACAAAUCAGCACCUUCUCUCAGCGUUCCGUUGAUCGGGGUCGGGUCCGGUACUGCAGCACAUUCAAGGAUUUGCAGCUAGAAAAUGUUACGGAUCACUUUAAAUUUCGAGUUAACAUAGAAGGAAAAAGCAGUGAAGAGCUGACAUUUCCUGUUACGGUACAAUGGCUGAGGUUUACCCUUCUGAAAAAUGUACCCCUUGAGAUCAGUAAAAUAAACAGGCACAUUCUGAAUUCUGAUCAUUUGCAGGCUGUGACAGAGGGUAUGGAAGUAGCUGAGAGGGAACUGCAAUUUAAGUUACUCACCACACCUAAGAAAGGAAAAUUGCUACUUGGCACACACGUUCUAAAAGCAAACUCAGUCUUCAGCCAACAAAACAUUACAGACUCUAAGAUAAGCUAUGAACCACAGGAGAGGCCCAGGGAACAUUCACAAGAUACUUUUAAGUUCUUGAUGGUUGCAAAGCAUAUAGAAUCAAAAGAUUAUACUUUCAGAAUAAGAUUUAAAGCAGAGAAGAAACACAUUAUUUUAACGAACAGAGGGUUGUUUGUUAAAGAAGGAGAAGGGAAAGUCAUCACAAAAUCAGAAUUAUUUGCUCAAACUUUGGACAGUCAGACUUUCCAAUAUAAAGUCACCAAGAGUCCUCAACACGGGAAGCUGAAAUUGAUUCACUCUUCAGAUUCUCCAGGAGUUCAUGACAACAUCACUACGUUCACCGACCAGGACAUCUUGGGUGAGUGGCUGAUGUAUGUACAUGAUGACUCUGAGACCGAGUAUGAUGAAUUCCUUCUCGUGGCCUCCACCACAGGACCAGGCCCAGAGGGAGUGGUGGGGGAUGGUGGCACAGAGCGUCUGUCUGCAGAAAUGAAAGUCACUGUUUCUGUGGGCUUGAAGAACGAUGAGAAACCAGUGCGUGUGGUAGAUAAGGUCUUUGAUGUUGUGCGGAAUGGCCAGCGCUUGUUGACCCUAGCAGAUCUCUGUUACCAUGACCCCGACUCAGAUUUUGAUGAUGGGCAGCUGCUCUAUACCCGGCGGGGCAUCCCUAAUGGAGACUUGGUGCGAGCCAGUGACCCCACCCAGAAACUCUACCAGUUCAGGCAAAAUGACCUACGGGAAGGACGCGUGCUCUUCAGGCAUUGGGGUGCAGACUCAGCCCGCUUUGUGCUGUUUGUGACAGAUGGUGUCCAUUACACAUCGUCCCUCCUAGAGAUAAGUGUGUCAGAGCCCUAUGUCCGUGUAGUCAACAACACAGGGCUGCUGGUACAGAGAGGAGAGGAGAGCAGCCUUACAACGGCCAACCUCAGCGUCACCACAAACCAAGAUGUCAGAACAGACCACGAGAUCGAAUUCCACAUCCUGCAGCCCCCAAAGCAUGGCAUAGUGUUGGUCAACAGCUCAGGGCAAGGCCGGUUCUCCCUGCAUGAUCUGAAGCAAGGACAUGUGACUUACAGGCAUGGUGGCAGAAGCAGCUUUGAUGUGUUCAACCUGACAGUGAAAGUGAAAGAUGUAGAGUUAGAACUGGGUGUCUAUGUGCGAGUAGACUCGGAAAGCCACAAACAUCAUGCCCAAAUUCUGCACAGCAAGACCCUUGUAGUUGAAGAAGGAAAACCUGUAAAACUGAGCAGAGGAAGGCUCCAGGCUGUACACGAAGGUAACUUUCCUUCAGAGGCAACAUUCAUCGUUAAAGCUCUGCCAAAGCAUGGAUACCUCCGAAGAUCUUUGUCAGAAGAAGGUAGCUUAGGUGCAAAUGAAAAGUCCCCUUUGACUUUUACACAACAGGACAUUAAUGAUGGUUAUAUCCAUUAUGUACAGACAGCUCCUGACCAACAGCUGGACCGUUUUUUACUGGAUGUGGUGAAUGGCUUCCAAGCUGUGAGUAGAGUUGAGAUCUUGGUGGAUAUCAUUCCUAAGUGGAUUCCUUUGGAGGUACAAAAUUUUACAGUCCAGGAAGGUGGUUCCAAAGCCCUUCUGGAAGACCACUUCAAAAUUCCAAGCAAACAUUUCGAGAGACUUGACUGUGAAUUUGUUCUACUCAAACCACCAAAACACGGUUAUAUUGAAAAUUCUCAUUUUCCAAGAGUAGAGCUAAUGAAAUUUACCAGGAAACAGGUGGAAAAUGGAUUGAUUUCCUAUGUUCAUGAUGAUAGUGAGGACCUUCUUGACAGUUUUACCAUCUUUGCAAAUAGCUCAGAGCUCGGAAAACAGAGUGUGCCCCAAACUCUUUUUGUGACUGUCAAGUCAGUAAAUGAUGAGGCUCCAGUAAUUACAGCUAAUAAAAUCCUUCAGGUGUGGGUGAAUUCUGUCACCGAGAUUACCAGUGGUGACCUCUGUGCAGAAGAUGCAGACUCCUCCCCGCGGGACCUUGCCUACUUGGUCUCUCCUCCCAGCAAUGGACAUUUGGCUCUUAAGUCCUUUCCUGGCCACAGCAUCCAGAACUUCACCCAAGCUGAAGUCAACGAGGGCCAGCUAGUGUUUGUACACACCGGAGCAAUGUCAGGAGGCUUUAAUUUUCAGGUUUCCGAUGGUUUGAACUUCGCAGCAGGACAAAUUUUUAGCAUCACAGCUCGAGCUCUAGUCUUAAGCUUAGAAGUAAACAGAGGACUAAGCAUCUUUCCAGGUUCCAUAAAGCCCCUUUCAUCUUGUGACUUGAGAGCUGUGACCAAUGAUGUGGACAGUGCAGGAAAUAGAACCAUAACCUUUACGGUUGUAAGUUCCCCUAGACUUGGGAGGUUGGUGCGAGUAAAUUCUGACAACAGCACAGAGGAUGUUUCCGUAUUUACGCAGAAUCUGGUCAGUGAACAGCUGAUAUUAUACCAGCAUGUGGACUGGGAAAACACAGGCUGGACUGCAGAAGACUCUUUCAUGUUCACGGCAUCCUCCCCACCAGCAGAUCUAGGCCCAGAGGAAUUUCAUAUAACUAUUUCAUAUGAAAUUAAUGAACCUGGUCGGCAGAGUCGUCUGCUUGCAAAUACAGGAGCUGUUGUCAAGGAGGGAGACAAAGUUCUCAUUGACCAAUCUAAGUUAGAUGCUUCCAAUCUCUUAUUUAAAUUGCCCAAAUCUCAGCGCUCUUCAUAUGAAAUUUGGUUCCAAGUUACAUCUCUUCCUCACCAUGGAAGUAUUAUGGUUGGAGAGAGAAAUAUUACCCAAAGAAAGCCCAAUUUCUCCCAGUAUAUAAUUAAUAAAUUUGGAAUCACAUACCUUCAUGAUGACUCUGAAUCACUGGCUGAUAAUUUUACCUUUGCCGUUUGGCCCAACCAAAAGAGCAAGUCCACCACUAAGCCAGAGGCUGACUUUCUUGAAGAGAUGUUUAACAUCACCAUCAGUCCUGUAAAUGACCAGGCACCAGAAUUAAAGACCAAAGGGCUUCGGCUGAAAGUUCUGCAGGGCAGUAGGUUGGUUUUAGGACCUGAAAACCUGAAAGUGGAAGAUGAAGACAGUCCUCCAGAGGAGAUCAGAUAUACAGUCAUCCAUAAUCCUGACAAUGGCUUUUUGGCAAUGGCUCACCAUCUAGACACACCUGUUCACCAUUUCACACAAGCUGACAUUGAUGACUCUCAGGUGUGGUUCAUGCAGGAUGGAAGCCCAUCCUCCGGGGUGUUUUACUUUAGUGUGACCGAUGGCCAGCACCGCCCACUCUACAAGCUCUUCCACCUGGAUGUCAUUCCCAUCUCCAUCACCCUUGUUAACCUCACUGACCUGCUUCUCCCACAAGGCCAGACAACCAUCCCCAUCACCAGUGCUCACCUGUCAGCAAUGACCAAUGGGAGGAGCCCCCAAAUCACUUACAGGAUAACCAGGCCCCUCCAACAUGGGUAUCUGCUCUUUGAAAACCAGGUGGUCAUCAGCUUUGGACAGGAGGAGCUGGAUUCAGGAAAGCUCUCUUACCACAUGACAAACCUGACUGCCUCAGAGGACCAGCUCCAGUUCUCACUGUUUACCUCAGAAAGCAACCUGACAGGACAGACACUGAGCAUCAGGGUGCAGCCUUUACUGUGGGUUACAUCAAACCUGACUGUUUCCAACAGAGUGGCCCAUCGGCUGAGAAGAAAGGACCUUGAUGCUACUGAGCUUGCUAAUAGGACUAACAGUGAUCCCGAAUUUGAAGUGACAGACCCCCCCAUCCACAGCAGACUUCUACGAAGAGUGGGCCAGGCCACCGUGAUGGAAGACACUACUCUAUUCACUCAGAGGGAUGUUGACCAAGGACUGCUGAUGCUCGAGCCACAUGCCAACCUAACAGGCACUGAUUGGCUGAACGACUCUUUCACUUUCUUGCUCAGGGCAGACCGUGUGCAGCCAGCGAUAGGCUGUCUUCCCUUCACCAUAGUGCCACCAGAUCCCUUUUUUUCGCAAACUUUUACACCUGAUGUUUCUUUAUUAGUCACUGCAGAUAACCUUGUGACCGCAGGUCUCUCUCAGGAAAAGCAUGUGGUUUCCUCAGGACCCACAGCACAGACAGGAACUCUGAGGAAGCUGACCCAGACCAGAUGGCAGGAAGCUGAUCCCUGGCAACGACACAGUGGUAAAGAGCCCACUUUAGAUGGCAGGGCCUCUCCCACUAGAGCCAUUUGGCCACCAGAUGCCACUAAAGCCAGUGCUGGGACACCCACCCUGCCCAGAGAGAGUGGUCACUACUCUCUAAUGGUCAUCGUACCGUUGACUGCGGUGAUCUUCCUGCUGAUAGUAACUUCAGUGGCCUUGUGUGUCUGGCUGCUAGGCUGUAAAGUAGAAAAGGCGAAACCUCUUAUCAAGCUCCAAACCAACCUAGAACCCACAACCCCAGGUGCUAGGCCAGAAAGGAGCACAACUAUUCCUACUGUCACGGUGACGCCCCUCCUGAAAAGCUCCAGCAGUCCUCCAGUCAGCAUUUUCAGGGCCCCACAAUGUGAGCACAUGGAAAAAUCUGUAGUCUCUGAGCCUGUGGAAAAAUGUGCUCCCUGGGAGCCGUGGGUGAAUCUGGAUCCCGACAUGGUCAAGCUCUGCCGACAAACCAACCCAACACUGAAGCACAACCAGUACUGGGUGUAGAUGGAGGGAAUUUGUUCUUUACUGACCACGCAAAGGCAAAGUUAUGCUGGUGAGAUCAACUGAGAUAAACCCAGCCCUUGGUGCUCAAUUGGAGCUCCAUGGUUAGAUGUUGGCUGGUGUUUAUUCUAACUUUGGACAACACUCAUCUUAUAGGCUCUCCACCAUGAGCUUUGUGUGCCCUCUUCUGGACCUGAUGCUCUGAGUGCACAUAAGAUUUUGUUACUAUUUAAACCCUUUACCAAGGUGGCCAGACUGUGGAUUAACAUGGGAGUUAGAGUUAAUGGAGGAAGGCUUUGAAUAUUUUUCACCGACGAUUCACUCUCAGAGUGUCAGCGAGGAAGUGCAGGAACUGUUUCAGCAAGUACAAGAGGUAAUUUAUCAAGUCAGUGAAUAUGUUUCUAGUGUUUUUCUGUAAUGACUUUUCCUCCUUGGAGGCUCUAGCUCUGACUUCCUAAUGAAGGAAAUGCUUGGGUGCUCCAGAUAAUGGGACAGUCUCCCCUCCUUUGAAGGUAUUUGUGAACACAUUGCGUCUAGUCUGAUUUGUAACAUCAAGCCUGUAGGACCAGUUUUAUGUGAAGUCCAAGGAAUAGAAAAGUUUGUUGAAUACUUUUGUGAUGCCUCAAUUUGGCUUAACUUUACAAUGAAUCAAAAUAGCGUCAGAUUUAUAUUUAACUUGCCCAGUUGAGCCUCCCAUUGGCAGACUCAGUUUCAGUUUCCAUAACUGCAAAAUGGAGAUAACAGUACUUGUAUUGUUAGGAAUGCUUUGGAUACCAAAUCACAACAUAUCUGCUACAUGUAGGCCUCAGGUUGGGGAUUGGCAAACUUGUUCUGUGCAGGGCCACAUAGGAAAAAUAUUUCAGGCUUUGUGGGCUACAUAUGGUUAUUUUAAAAAAAUUUUUUUAAAUGUAAAAACAAUUAACAGUUCCUGGAUGUGACCCACAAACCAUAGUUCGCCAGUCAUUGGUAGAGCUGAGCAAUAAAAGUAUUGAAUUAUUUUAAAUAAGCAGCCUGAGGUGGACAUUCCAAAGCUGGUUCAACGGUUCAAAGACCUCAUGGAGGACUGACGCUCUUUUGUUCUUUCUGCAUUACCUUCCUUGAGCUAUUGGCACUUAUUUCAUCCUUUUGUUUAGUUCCUUAUGAUUGUGAGAUGGCUGCUGAAGCCCCAAGCAAUACAGUCCCAUUCAAAGGCCAAAAUCCUAGUGGGGGGAAAAGAGAGAUAUCAAGAAGACUUUUCUUUAGAGAGGAUCUUAUGUAUUAAUAUUUUUUAAAAUCUCGAGGCCUUCCCAAACAUUUCCUCCCUUUUACAUCUCAUUGUCUAGAACCGGGCAACGUGAUUCCUGUACCUUAACCACCAUUGGCAAAGAGAGAUGGAAUUCUCAUGAUUGACAACUCUUCUGGGGCUGGGAGAGGAUUCUGCCAGGUCAGAGAUCAAUGAAUAAUCAGCCCACUGUGUAAUUAGGAAAGUAUGGGGAAUGGCAACUAGAUAGGCAAAGAGUAGGAUCAACUGAAAUAUUCUUUGAGUUUUGAAAUACUUGGGCAACACAGCUUUUGAUCUUUCGAAUUGGUAUCUACUUUAAUAUCGCCUUUCUAUAUUUUAAUGAUUUUCUUAAAGCCAGUGUUUCUAAGGUGGGGGGAGAAAUUUCCCCCUAGGAGGCAUUUGGCAAUGUCAGGAGACAUUUUGGGUUUUCACAACUGGUGCUGUGGCAUCUAGUGAGUAUAGGCCAAGAAUGCUGCUGAAUAUCCAACAGUUCACAAGACAGCCCCCACAACAAAGAAUUACCUGGCCCAAAAAUGUCAAUAAUGCCAAGGUCGAGAAAAUCCUGGUUAAAGCCAGAAUGAAGAGUUUUCUUGUAUACCCAGUGAAGAAUUCAUAAACCCAUUCCUAAAUUUAGGCAAAAACUGUAUCCUGAAAACAGAAUGGAAGAGUGAAAAUCUCAUAGUAUGUUUGAAAUUGUGAUUGGCUAAUGGUAUCCAUGAAGUUUUUUUUUUUUUUGAGACUGUAUUAAAAAUGAAACAAAACUUGAGCACACUCAUUUCUAUAGAUUCGUUAUCUAAGAAAAAAAAAAAUUGUCUUGUGUCAACCAGUGGGACCCAUCAUGAGAAAAAGAAAAAAAAAUAGGGUAGGAUAUUUACAAAGGUAAAGAUGAGGUCACAGUGUCCCCAGAAAUCUCUGAUGUGUUCCAUGUGGAAAAAAGCUUUUUUCUCACCCUGUCCCUUUUUUGCUCUUCUAGGCUGCUUUUCCCUCCCAACCCAAUUUUAACUGCUCUUUGUGGAAACAGAUUUCACAGUCUACAGAAUAAAUGGAAGCAUAGCAUAUGUAGGCCUAGAGACAACUUUCCCUGUCUUAGUUCCUUGGCUCUAAUGCCACAGACAACUGUUGCCCCCAUCCCUGGCUAUGGACAACUACUGCUGAAAAUUUCUCUACUCCUCUUCCAAAAGUGAUUCUCUCCUGCAUUUCUGGAUUCCUAAAUUCUGUAUAACUCCCUCAAGUGGUUUUGUUUUUGUUUUUUAGGACUACAGGUAUGGCAUAUGAAGGUUCCCAGGCUGGGAGUUGAAUCAGAGUUGCAGCUGCGAGCCUACGCCAUACCUACAGCAACACCAGAUCCGAGCUGAGUCUGUGACCUACAUCACAAUUCAGGGCAAUGCCGGAUCCUUAACCCACUGAGAGGCCAGGGAUUGAACCUUCAUCCUCACAGAUACUAAUCGGGUUCGUAACCUGCUGAGCUACAAUGAGAAAUCCCUAUUUGAUCCCUUUAUGAAGGGUGAAGAAUGAGAAUCUUAAACCAAGGUUUGCUUGAAAACUGUGCAGCUCAGAAUUGUUCUUAAGCCUGUUCUAAGCUGUCAGGCACUCAGAAGAAGCAGACUGACAGCGUGUACUUGAGCUUAUUCACAGAAAGUGAAGGCUGAUGAGCAUCUUUGCAUCCAGUAAGUGGAGUUUUCCUCCCCCUCAACUGGGCAAGGAGAAUGCCUGUUCUUUGUGGGAAAGCCAGACAUACUUGGCUCUGUGACCACCUUGGCUUCUCCCUUACUUCAGCCAUAAAAUCUCUGGAGCUAGGACUACCAGCCUGGCCAAACAAAAAAGUCUGAUUUCCCUCCUCUUUCUCCUGUUAACUCUGCAGCUCCAGACAAACUCGGUGUCUAUAUUGGAAUGAGACACACAUCAUUGUCUUAAAAAUGAUAAUUCACAUUGUUUGUGAGUGUGUCUGCUAGAGCAGGAACAUUAGUGUGUGAUCCAGACGUCAAGAUGCAGUCAUUAAUCAAGUAAUUCUCAUAGAGCUUGGAAAGAUUUCUUCCAGAGGAUGUGGAAUAUUCUACCAAUUUGCAGAUGGGUUCAAUUAAAAGGAAACAAUGCCUACCAUUUGAUGCUGGCUCAAAUAAAACAUGAAAUAAAACAUCUUGGCAAAGCCUUGUUUAGUGUUGAAAAUUGAAGUUUAGAAAUUGAAAAUCAGUCUGAAAUGGUUUCUCCCAUGUGCAUAACUAUAACUGCAUAGUCUCAACCCUGUCAUACUGAAUUCACUGCUUUUUAACAAAUGACUGGUGACGAGUUCCUAUUUUGGCUCAUUAGGUUAUGAACCUGACUAGUAUCCAUGAGGAUGAGGGUUCAAUCCCUGGCCUGACUUAGUGGGUUAAGGAUCCUGCGUUACCCUGAGCUUCAGUGUAGGUCACAGACGUGUCUUGGAUCCUGCAUUGCUGUGGCUGUAGUGUAGGCUGACAGCUACAACUCCAAUUUGAUCCCAGGCCUGGGAACUUCCAUAUGCCUCAGGUAAGGCCCUAAAAAGCAAAACAAACAAACAAACAAAACCACCAUUGAUUUAAUAAGUGGAUACCUAGGGUUAAUAUCAGAAGAGUGGCCAGUUUUGCUUAAGAGAAGGUACGCAUUGUUUGGGGUGGGCUGGGAGUGGAGAGUCUAAUGUUUUUCUAUAUCUGGAGGUUUUGACUGUUUCUAACCUUUCAGAGAUCCUGUUCAACACUUGAGUGUACUUUCUUAGAGUCAUGGGUUAAUUAGGUAAAGUGGAGAUGACACAGGAGGUAUUCUUCAGAUUUUUGAGGCUGAAGUGGACACAUUUGGAGAGUGAAUGGUAGGUAAUGGGAGGUGAUGGCACGUAUCAGAUAAUAUUCCCUGAAUUGAAGGAUAGGGCUGCACUACAUACAUCUUGAAUCUUUCAGAGGGGGUUAAUAAUUAAUAAUGAGGUUCAGUUUGGUCCUGUGUAGGGAGAGAUGUGGGAAUAAAAGAGGGCAUGGAGCCCACGGUGUGGCAUGCUGAAUGAUGGAGAUUUUGCCAGGUUGUUCAAGAUCACUACUGGCUGUUUCGCAGGGACCUGGAAGAGGCUGCCUUAUCACAGUGAUCUGCAAACAUUUAUUAGGAACCAAUUGUAUGUGAGAUGCUAGAUACUGGAUUCUGCAUCUAGGUAUUAAAGAUACAAGAUUUUGUUCUGAAAGGAACUUUUUGGUCUGUUUCCUCUGUUGGCUCUUCCAGAAUCACACAAGGAAUGCCAGAAGAAAGGAAGGUACAGAAAAGAAGGACAAAGGGAAACAGAGGUUAGGAAAAGGCUUUGUGUCUUUUCAUUUGAAGCAUUCUUAGGGCCACGUCUGUGGCAGCUUGAAGCAACGCUGGGUCCUUAACCCACUGAGCAAGGCCAGGGAUUGAACACACAUCCUCGUGGACACUGAGCCACAACAGGAACUCUGUCUUUUCACUUAAUGCUGUCAUAUGAAACACAAAAGGCUUUAAUUUCAAUGAUGUUUAAUUUAUGAAUUUUUUCUUUUGUCACUGUACCUUGGGUGUAAUAUCUAAGAAAACAUUUCCUUAAUCCAAAGUCAUGAAGAUAUAUACCUUUGCUUGCUUUUAAGAGUUUUCUAUUUUUAGGUCUUAAAAUUAGAUCUUUGUCUCAUUUGAGUUCAUUUUUAUACAUAGUGUAUAUGGUAUGAAGUAGAGGUCCAACUUCAUUCAAUAGCAUGUGAAUAUAUACUUUUCUUAGCACCAUUUGUUUAAGAGACUAUUAUCUUUCCAUUUAAUUACCUUCACUCCUUUGUCAAAAACCAGUUGACCGUAAGAGAUUAUUUUUGUACUCUCAGUUCUGUUCUAUUGAUUUCUAUAUUAUAUUAUUUCUGUACUCUCAGUUCUAUUUUAUUGAUUUUUAUAUUUUUGUAUAUUCUAUUGGUCCUUAUGCCAGCUGCGCCCUGACUUGAUUACUAUAGCUUUGUAGUAAGUUUUGAAAUUUGGAAGUGAGUUCUCCAACUUUGUUCUUCUUUCCCAAGAUUGUUUUGCCUAUUUGGGGCUCCUUUAAUUUCCAUAUGAACUUUAAAAUCAGCUUAUCCGUUUCUGCAAAGAAGGCAUCAAGAUUUUGAUAGAGAUCUCAUUGAAUCUGUAGAUAAAUUUUAAAUUUAGGGACUAUUAAAUCUUAACAAUAUUAAGUCUUAUGAUCCAUUGAACAUAGGCUGUCUUUUUAUUUAUUUAGGACUUUUUAAUUUCUUCCAACAAUGUUUUGUUGUUUUCAAUUUAUACGUCUUGCACUUCCUUAGUUAAAUUUAUUCCUAAGUAUUUUAUUGUUUGUGAUGCUAUUGUAAAUGAAAUUGUUUUCUUAAUUUUAAUUUUUACCUUCUUAAUUUUGUGUAUUGCUAAUACAUAGAAAUACAACUGAUUUUUGUAUAUUGAUUUUAUAAUCUGCAACUUUGUUGAAAUCUUUUAAUUGUUUCUUAGUGGAUUUCUUAGGAUUAUCUACUUAUAAGAUUAUUUCAUUUGAAAAUACAGGUAGCUUUACCUUUCCAGUCUAGGUUCCUUUUUAUUUCAUUUUCUUGCCUAAUUAUCCUUACUAUAACUUCUACUACAGUGUUGAAUAGGAGUGGUGGGAACGGAUCUCCUUGCCUUGUUUUUGACCUUAGGGAGAAAGUUUCACUCUUGCCAUUAAGUAUAUAUUGACAGCUAUAGGGUUCCUGUAGAUGUCCUUUAUCAUGUUGAGGAGGUUCCCUUCUACUCCUAGUUUAUUGAAUGUUUUUAUCGUGAAGGAAUAUUGAACUUUUUUUGGUGGGGAGCAGUCCCGUGGCACAUGGAGUUCCUGGGCCAGGGAUCAGAUCUGAGCCGCAGUUGCAACCUACACUACAACUGUGGCAAUGCUGGAUCCUUAACCCAUUGUGCCAGGCUGGGGAUUGAACCUGCAUCCCAGUACUCCAGAGACACUGCUGAUCCUGUUGCACCACAGCAGGAACUCCAGGAUACUGAAUUUUGUCCAGUAUUUUUCUUGUAUUUAUUCAAGCGAUCAUGUGAUUUUUGUUCCAUGUUCUAUUGAUAUAGUGGAUACAUUAAUUGAUUUUUAGAUAUUUAACCAACCAAUCCCAUUUGGCCAUGGUGUAUAAUCCUUUAUAUAUAUUUGCUGAAUUUCUCUUGAGGAUUUUUGCAUUCUAUUAGCACUCUUGCUAUAAACCUCCCUGAAAAGGGCCAUGAGUUCAAACAGAAGCAUGUGUAUUGAAUGGACAGCAAACAGUUUUUAUCUAGGAAGAUUUGUUUUAUUGUGGAAUAAAAAUAGAAUGAAUUUGGGAAUUUGAAAUGUUUUAAGUCUGUGAGGGAGAAGCUGAAAUAUUUACCUUAGUUUAGAGCACAGAUCACAUUUGGAAAGAUAACUGGUAUUGAGUAGACCCUGGGGGAGGGGUAGUCACCAGAACCAUGCAGAAGUUAACCAUAUACAUUUCUACGCUAAGUGCCUGUGCCUGCAGCUGCCCCUUCCCCAGCUCACCCCACGUGAUUGUUGAAAGUUAGGUUGUCCUAGCAAGCUGGAAGAGCCAGGAGGGAUAAUGCAACCUGUAUUUGCUUUGAGGAUGGAUAUCCAAGAUCAUGGGGUGUUGAAAUGAAACUUUCAUUUGAAACACCAAGGCAAUAGAUAUCCCAGUUCAAAGUAAAGGGCUUCACCAUGAUAAAGUUUUUUCAAAAGAAGUGAUCAGGCUAAAUGACCCUUAAAUUCCCUCUUAUGGGGAAAAGAGUUAGAAAUUGGAAAUGAGUGAAGAAGAAUUUGAGAGAAAGCUGUUCUUUUGCCAUGAGUUCUACCCCACCUCUACCUCAAGGGAAGGUCUAGGAGUCUCUGAAUGUUUAAGCUUAGGGAAAGGAGGUUCAAGGGAUUUUUAAAGAGGUUAAUAUAGGUCUCCUGUGUCUGAGGACAUAGAAUGAUCUAAAGGGUGAGAGAGAGACAGACUAGUUGCUUUCAUUGUUGUUCAAAGGAGAGAUAUCCAUGAGAGGAGGUCAGUUUUCCAGAGCUGUCAGGCCACUGAGUGAAUACAAAUAGCCUCUGACUUGUCAUAGUUUGACUUAGAAUUUUUAGACUUUGUAAUGGUGGGAAAGUGAUAUUCAUUCAGUAGAAACCAUACUUUUAAUUUUGAAUUUUAAUCUUUUCCCAGCAGAAUAUGUGGUAGAUACUCUCCUGAUGCUGGACAGUGGCAAUGACCUGUAGCUCCCAGUCAGCCUGACAAUCAUGAGGGUCAACAACCAAUACACCUACAACCAUCCUAUACCCAUACAACCGUUCUGUUUUUCACUUUCAGUACAGUAUUCAAUAAAUUAUAUGAUAUAUUCACUCCUUUUUAUAAAUUAGGCUUCAUGUUAGAUGAUUUUAUCCAAUUGCAGGCUACUGUAAGUGUUUUGGUCAUGUUAAGGUAGGCUAGACCAAGCUAUGAUGUUCCAUAGAUUAAAUGCAUUUUUGACUUACAAUAAUUUCAACUUAUUGGGAUAUAACCCCAUCAUAAGUCAAGGAAGAUUAGCACAUGAGUGUUUCUUGUGGACCAGAUGUGGAUUCAGAGAACAAGCUGGCACAGGGGUCAUCUUAUCUGAGACAGUAGUCUAGAGAGGCAUAGACUUGAGUGAAGAGAAGCUGGAUUUUUAGAAGAUGAAGAAAAAAGGAAGGACCCGUCAAAAAGUUGCAUUUGCCCUGCCAAGGAAUUGCAGAUGAGAAAUCUCAAGGAUCUCUGAAGAACCAUUGUCAGAGCUCAUGAGAAAAGUCAACUUUAAACAUUUGCAAAAACAAAAUCACAAAUUCUAAACUUUAUGACAGUAGCAGGUAAGUAGAAACUUCUGCUCCCCUGACCUACCCACCUCUGGAGGGGUUGAAACCAUGAAUAGUCAGAGGAAGUCAGAGACAAGAGAAAAAAAGACCCUUUGCUUCCUUGACUUCAGACCCAAACCAUCAGAUGGAGGGAAGCCUCAACUUAAAAGCAAAUUUGAAGUUUUGACUAUUACGUAAGACUGGACAUUUUGAUGCUAACCUGAAAUUGUGAUUUAUGACUUGAAGUGACCCUUAAACUGCUUGUAUUACCCAAGAGUGACCAGAAAAUUCUUGAUGACUUCCCUACCCAGGCCCCACAGGGAUCGAAAGGGACAAUGGCAGACAAAAAUGAAGUUGUUUUCUGCUGACAUUCUAGUUCUGCUUGUUCAGUAUAAUGUUUGCAUGAGAAUGAUGCAUUUCUACUUAUCAGAAUUGCACCUCAGCCACAGGACUGAGUGCCAGAUGCUGUUGAAUUUUAUUCCAAUUUUGUUUUACUACAAUAAUGCAUUAUCUGUAUUCUGUUUCCUCCAAGGGGCCUUGUCUGACCACUCCAGUUAGAUGAUCUCUAUGCAAUGGACAUAUGUCCUUCUUUAUGGCCACUGAGCAUUGGAAACACCUUCCUAAUGUCUGGGAAACCUCCCAUUUUAGGAAGCAGUGCUCCUGUCCAGGAAAAGAAGCUGAAAUGUCAGGUAUUCAAGUCCUACCCUCCCUGCAGCAGAUGUGUCAGCAUAGCCAGCAACAGGAGGGAGCAAGGGCUGUCUAGACUCCAUUCUGGUAACAGAUGGUGGUAGUAGAAGUAACAUCUGGUUUUUAGAGGCAGCAGUGACAGAGAAGAGGACCCGGUGUUGUGGGGUGGGUGGGGGGUCUGCAGUGUCUGUGCCCAAUGGGGGCCUGUGGAAUCUUCAUUGGCCCAGUUCCACCAUGUGAGGUUGGCAGCACUUCCUGGCUCUGUAGCCCCCAUGCAUCCGGUGCUCCUGGAGAUUCAGUGAACUUCUCGGUCAUCUUUUUGUAAUUACUAAUUAUAGUAAUUAUAGAUUUACAAAAAAGUUGCUGAGAUCGUAGAGAGUGUCCUCAUAUGUUCUCACCUAGCUUCCCCCAACAUUAAUGUCUUAUACAGCUAUGGCACAUUUGUCAAAACUAAGAAACAACCAUUGGUAUGACAUCAUUCUCUAAAUCACAUACUUUAUUUGGAUUUCACCAACAUUUCCAUUCAGGGCCCUUUUCUCUUUCAAGAUCUAAAUCAGGACAGAACUUUCCUUUUGGCUGUCAUGUCUCCCAGGUCUCUUUUCUUCUUUGACAGUUUCUUAGAGUCUUUCCUUGUUUUCUAAAAGAACUAGUCAGUUAUUUUGUAGAAUGUUCCUCAAGUUGGACUUACCUGAUGUUUUCUCAUUAGUUGACUGGAAUUAUGGAUUUGGGGGAAAAUUACUACAGAGGUGAAGUGUCUCUUCUCUUCAAGGGUUAAAUCUCAGGGGAUACAUGAUGUCCACAUGACUUAUCAUGGGUGAUUUUAACUUUGAUCAGCUGGUUAAAGGGCUGUCUCCCAGGUUUCUCCACUGUGAAGCUAAUAUUUUCCCCUUUCCAUACUCCAUUUGUUGGAAUGGAGUCACUAAGUCCAGCUCACACUUGAAAAAAGGAAGUUGAGUUCCAUCUACUGGAUGGGGGCAUGUGUUCAUAUAUUAUUUGGAAUUCUUCUAUAAGGAAGAUUUGUCCUUUCUCCUUCAUUUACUUAAGUACGUAUGUAUGUAUCUAUCUGAUACUCAAUCUAGCACAAGAAAAGAGUACUCGUUUGUAAAAAUUCAAGAAGAAAUCUUAGGACCCAGUGGUGGGAAAAACAGCCAGCAUGAGAGGGUCUAUGAAGAUAUUAGAAACCAAGAAAAAAAACCACAUGGAGGAAACAAGAGACAUGCUCUCUGUGACCUGCUCUAUUCCCUUGCAGUGGACCAGCUUCUGACACAAAGUUUAGUUUUACUUCCCUCUCUUGCUGGCCUGAGCCUCUCCAUUGUCCCCAUGCUGUCUGACUGUUGCUCCAGGGCAUAACAUCAUCUGACUACAAUUGAGGUUUGCCUGGCUCAAAUUCUCACGAGAAAGUAACUUAUUUUCUUAGCAGCUUAUAGAUUCAUUCUUCCUGGCCCAGAUCCCCUUGAAUUCAGUUAGCUGUGGCCAGCAAUGGGGUGGAAUUACUUGGUUAAAAAAACAAGCAAACAAACAAAAAACACAAUCAUCUUGUCACCUCUUUGUAAGAGUUCUGAGAAGGAAUGAAUUCUAAAAAGAGAGUAUGAGGGGCUGGCACUGCAAAAUGCUCCUACUGCAUUUUCCUUCGGCUCUUCUUGGAAUAAGGGUUUUACUCCUAAAAUAACAUCAGAGGUUGCAUUUAUUUCGAAGUCUACAUAUGGGCUCUUCUGCUCAACACACAGUGCUCUUUGGUGAUCAUUUUUGUUCUCCAAAAUUUUGGAGUUUUUGCCUAAAAUUUCAUUAAGCAGAUAAAGAGGAGCUUUUGAAGCAUCGAUGGAGGCUUAAGUCACCUUCCCAGCCUUUCCAUCCUCUCCCUAGUGGCUGCCAAGAUCCCCUUCAGUAUGUAGCUUAAGGGAGGUAGAGAAGAUAAAUGAUUUACUUUUCUGGGCCUCAGUUUUCAAGUCAAAGAAAAGUCACUGCUUUCAUAUAUCAUUCUCCUAAAUGAGAUUAUACUGAGGGGCACUGGGAAAUUCAGAGUCCCUGCCUGUAAAAACAUCAUAAAGAUGAAUUUGUAAGCUGCAGGGUCCCAGAAGGCACACCAAACUGAGUCACUGAGAAGUACUCAAUAACAAACUCAACAGAAAUGUGGGCAGGUUCAGGGAAAAUAAGUAUGGCUCUGUAAACACCCCCCCCCCACCACCCGGGGGGCUUGCAAUUGCAGGGUGACUUUGCAGCCCCUCAGACAGAAAGGACAAAGGAAGGACUGGUUCCUAGAGGUAGAGAGAGUGGCUGUAUGGCUAUGAGAAGCAGCCACCCUUAGAGAGUGCAAGGGAAGGGAGAGAGUUGGGGGAAUAAAUACUCCAUAUCACCCUUCUCCUUUCUGACCUCCUGCCAGUGGCUGCCGUCCACUGAACCCAGUGGGAAACCAAAGGGCCAGAUUACCCUUGACCUAGUCCAUAGAGAGAAGCGUCUCAGGACAGAUAGCAGGGUGCAGAGGAAUCCAGCACAAGACAGUCAGAUGGCUUGUGGCCGAGCCUGGUCUACAACCCUACUUUCCUGACUUGUAUCAUCAUGCUCUUUCUACCACAUCACCCUGCCUUCUUCUCAUUUUCUCCUGCCACUCUAGGCUGGCUGCUUCAAGGUUCUUCUCAUGUUAUAGAUGAAAGAGCAGCUUAGGUUUGCAAACUAUCAGGGCCCCACUGUGGCCUGCAUCUUACCCAGUCCAGUAAUGGAAGAACUAGGCCUUCCCUCCUGCUUCUCUUGAGUUUCCUCCCAGCUCUGGAGGCCAGAAAUCUAUCUUAUGGCGCCUCCAUCCUGACCUCUGGUGGAUUUGCUUCUAGACAGAGUGCUUUGCUGAGAAACCCCUCCUUAUGAGCACAGGAACCCCCCCCCCAUUUUUUUGCAAUGCAAAAAGAAGCCCCAAGUUGCUUUCUGAAUAAAUGAGGUUUGCAUUCUUCCUGGAAAGAGUUUUCUUCUCUGAGGUGGUUAUUGCCACGGUCAAUUGAAAAUUAGGAAGCUGCUUUCAGAAAUGUUUGCCUAUGCUUUGGAAUGUAAUUGAAAACAACUGUUUUAUUUCUACUGAAAUGUGUAGAGAGUUAGAACCAGCACUGGCAGCUAAUCAAGGAGGGGUGAAGGCAGAAUGGUUUGGAGGAGGGGAGGGGAAAAGAGUG